rnacentral:tRNA from 1 species
AGUCCCGUGGUUUUACAUACAAGUUUGCAAAUCUUGAGUAGCAGAGUGACGCCUGCCGGGGCUU